UACGGAGGGUGCAAGCGUUAUCCGGAUUCACUGGGUUUAAAGGGUGCGUAGGUGGGCUAGUAAGUCCGUGGUGAAAUCUCCAAGCUUAACUUGGAAACUGCCGUGGAUACUAUUAGUCUUGAAUGUUGUGGAGGUAAGCGGAAUAUGUCAUGUAGCGGUGAAAUGCUUAGAUAUGACAUAGAACACUGAUAGCGGAGGCAGCUUGCUACACAAUGAUUGACACUGAGGCACGAAAGCGUGGGGAUCAAACAGG
rnacentral:rRNA from 1 species